rnacentral:lncRNA from 1 species
AUAAAGAAAAUAAAAAUUUUGUUGCCACAUUAAUUCAAUUGAAGAAAAUAAAUAGUUUUUCAAGUUUAGUAAAUAAACAGCAGCAUAUUCAAUAUCCUAGUGUCACACCCAUUUUGGCCAUGAAUUGGCCAUCCACUUAUAGAACACAUUUAAUAACCUACAGCAGGUUAAUGCAUUACAUAGUAAAGAAAAUCAACAGAUAAUGUGACAAAGAAAUGAUGUAAAAGCCAACCCAUAUUUGGCCACUCAUACACACACAACUGUUAACACAACAUGUAACUUACAAAUGCAAUACAUAAUUGUUAAUAAUAUAGCAUAUAAGGUAUACCGUUUUCGCACACUUUUCGGCCACCAGCUGGCCACACUCCAGAAAUAGUGACCUAUGUUUCCUUAGGAAGGUUUUCGAUUUAACAUCAUAGUCCCUUAGAAGUUCGUCUAAUUCCUCUCCCUUUAUCUUCCUUGUAACCAUUUCCAUUUAUUCCCAUAUCUCUCCAUCCGUUCUCUCCCUCAAACCCCUAUCAUUUAUUCACAAUUCUGUUUCUAAAUCAUUACAAACAAAACCUACAUUAUGUUAUUUCCUCCCCUUAGCUCUCCCUUAAAACAAGCCCUAAUUUCCCAUCUAUUUUCUUUCUCCAGUGUUCAUUCAUACUUUUUUCAUUUUUUAUUCUUAAAUUAAUUUACAUUCAGCUGUCCCACUCUCUCAAGCAAAUCUGAUUUACUUUUAGUCAUUCAUCAUUUUUUUUGGUUUUUAAGACCCUAAUUGAUUUUCUCCAAAAUUUUAGCCUUCUAUCAUGAAAACCCUUUCACCUCGAUUCUCUUACCUUGUUUUUGCAUCAUCACAUAUCUAUAUACACUUUCAGAUUUCGCCUUUUAUGAUGCACCAUCUAACAUUCUAUUACAAGUUCAAAUAUCUUCCCUUUUUUUUUCAACCCCAAUCAUGCAUACAUCCUCCGAAAGAAGGAAUUUAAAAAUAUAAAUCUCAAUUUUGGUGUUUGAAACCCAAAUUUGUCUUACCUCCUGCCACUGCGUGGAUGUUUACUUCUAAUGUCUGUUCUCUCUCAAGUGCUCCUUGGCGACGCAGUAACACAUUACCAUCGGUUCCUAUUUAGAUCUUUGGACUCUUUCUACCCAUCCUUCUCUCGAUCAGACUAGCUAUUUUAAGAUCCUACUUCCUCUCUAGAAUCUCAUACUCAU